rnacentral:rRNA from 1 species
GCUUGUCUCAAAGAUUAAGCCAUGCAUGUCUAAGUUUAAAUAGAAAACAGUGAAACUGCGAAUGGCUCAUUAAAUAAUUUUGCAUAUACAAGAUAGUCAACUCUACUUGGAUAACCGUAGUAAUUCUAGAGCUAAUACAUGCGUCAAUGCCCGACUUUGGAAGGGCUGUGUUUAUUAGAUCCAAAACCAAUGCGGGGCAACCCGGUUACUGGUGAUUCAUAAUAACCUAUCGGACCGAAUGGCCUUGCGCCGUCGGUGCAUCAUUCAAAUUUCUGCCCUAUCAAUUUGUUGGUAGUAUAUAGGACUACCAAGAUGAUUACGGGUAACGGAGAAUUAGGGUUUGAUUCCGGAGAGGGAGCCUGAGAAACGGCUACCACAUCUAAGGAAGGCAGCAGG